UGGGGAAUUUUGCGCAAUGGGGGAAACCCUGACGCAGCAACGCCGCGUGGAGGAUGAAGUCCCUUGGGACGUAAACUCCUUUCGAUCGGGACGAUUAUGACGGUACCGGAAGAAGAAGCCCCGGCUAACUUCGUGCCAGCAGCCGCGGUAAUACGAGGGGGGCGAGCGUUGUUCGGAAUUAUUGGGCGUAAAGGGCGCGUAGGCGGUCGGAUAAGUCUUGUGUGAAAUCUUCGGGCUCAACUCGAAGUCUGCACGAGAAACUGCUGGCUUGAGUGUGGGAGAGGUGAGUGGAAUUCCUGGUGUAGCGGUGAAAUGCGUAGAUAUCAGGAGGAACACCUGUGGCGAAAGCGGCUCACUUGGACCACAACUGACGCUGAGGCGCGAAAGCUAGGGGAGCAAACA
rnacentral:rRNA from 1 species